AUGCAACAGUGCUUUUAUUGGGGGGUUCAGGGGACAUAUGACAAAGUCUCAUAAAAUGUCAACAAAGUCACAUUUUGUGCUUGGCUUGACUUAAAAAACUCUAUGAACUCACUUAAUGAGAAUUGUGUGACACAUGGCCAAUGAUCAUUUUGAAAAUAGGAUGACCUGAGCCACCAGCAGGUCCAAGUGCAACAAUGCCAAAUAUCUAACUGGAAAUUUACAACAGUUAAAUAUUCAGGUACUUUCAAACAUCUAGAAGCUUGCCCUUAAGUAAACACAGCUUAACGGACUUCAGACAAAAUUGCAUUUCAAAUUUGAGUUCUCCAGCUGACCCCUCUAUUUGGCAUGACUGAAUGCCAACUGAAGGCGAAGGGGCUGGUAAAGAAUAAGGUUUCCUCAAUUCCAGCUUUUUAUUGCUGAAGUAUUCUUGAGUUAGUCACCUGGAUAAGUGAAGGUUAAAAUAGCAAAGAACCACUGAUACCGUCAAAAACAUAAGGACUAGCGAAACAGUCGUGUUUAAAUCUUGAUGUGGAAGCUCUAAUAUAUACUGUGCAUAAAAUUGGUUCAGGAAAUGCUCAUGAGAAGAUCUGUUUAGGUGAACUGAGAAUUCCAAAUCAUUGAAGACACUGUACACAUAACUUGGGCCAUUGUAUGUUCUGUGUGGAUGGACCACUGACAAUUCCUGCAUCUAAAGAUGUCAGCCCAGAGCUAUAGCUAUUUUUCACGCUGAGGUGAGAAGCCAGAGAGGUGCAAAACUGAGCAGUCUACUAGGUUCCAUGCCGCCCCUGAUCACCCAGAUGGAAUGUUGUCAUUGAUCAAAUUCAAGCUCACACUUCUUUUAGGCAGGAUGCAGUUGUUUAUUUAAGAGCCGCUGAGGGCAUGGUUUCUGGACCUUGCUUUGCUACACGCAAAUGUGGGAUCUUCUGUAAGUCACUCUAACUUCAUGGAUUGACAACACCUGUAGAAAAGGACAUUGUAUAGAUGACCUUUAGGCUCCCCUCACUUUCUAUUUUCAUUCUCAAGAAGUGGAGAGUUCAUGCUCACCAAAAUGAAUAGUCCCAUCAAAGGCUGGACACCCACCAAAGCAGCCUAAAAUGCUGAUAAACCCCAUUUCCCCUCCAAUUUCUGUCAUGAUAAAAAUACGUUCCAUCACUUUAGUGUAAUUUAACCAGAAAACUGAAAAAUUUGAGAAGAUAAUUGUUACCAUUUACCACAGAAAAAUCUCAAGGACUAGAGAAGUGGUCAUAUUGUGAUGUUGGUCGUAGUAUUUUGACUUAGUGCUUUAGAUCAUGAGCUUUGCGAUGGCAAAUCUGAUUGUGACACCUGGAUGUGGUGGUUUGGCAAGUUACUUAACCUCAUUAAACCUCAGUUUUCUUAGUGUAAAAUGGGGAUAAAUUUUGCAGGAUUGUUGUGAGGCUUCAGAGAGUUAAUGUAUAAAAUACUCAAAAUGUAGUGAGAACUCAAUAAACAUCCAUUGUUAUCAGGCCAAGAGAAAAAUCACAAAUCCUCCUGUUAUCGCCACUCUCACGUGCUUUAAUGGAAGAAAUACAAUUAUGAUUCUAGGCGACACCUGAAGCGGGAGAGGGACAAUGUGUCCAUGAAGUCUUUACCACAUAUGUACAUACACACACACUGGCACUGAAAGUCUGGGGUGAAGGCAACUAGACAUGUGUGAUCAUAAUUCCCUAAAAUUACAUGUAGUCUUCCCGGACUUUGCUCACAACACCACAUCCAUCUAAAGGACUCGAUUUUCUCCUUCUUUUCCAUUUAUCGAAAUCUUUAACAUCUUUUAAGAUUCAUUUCCUCCUCCUUUCCGAACUUUCUUCCCUAAACGGACCAGUUUGCCCAGUUUAACGUGACCACCUCUGAGCUCCUUGUUCAUACAUCUUUUGUCUUGCUUUGGUUUUACUGUUAUUGUCUAUUGACUUGAUUUGUUACUUAUCUUGUCAAAAGCGUACAUACCUCUGCCUAACUAAACUUAAACUCUGCAGAGGCAGAACCUAGCUUGCCUGACAGAAAGCAUGGUUGAUUGGUGGUGUCACAGGGUAGUGCCUUUCCACGCUAAAUCUAGAAGUCAUUCUCAAGUGUUCCUGUUUCUUGCAAAGAUUGCCUCUUGUUCUGAGAGUCUACUGGCUGAACUGCAUCAUGUGGGUGUGUCGCUUAGCAGAAGAGGUGUCUUCAGGUGACCGAGUCCUGAUUCCUUUGUUUCAACUUCACAGUUGGCUUGAGCGUCCACCAGUACAGCGGUCUCUGCAGUCUGUGUCCUGUCACUGGGGAGACAUUCCUGAGAUGGGGGGACUAUAGGAUUGGCUGAAAGGAACAUCAACACAACUAAAAAAAUAACAGAACAUGUCACAGAAAGUUAUCACAUCGACUCUUGCACACAAAUAAAGAAAUGUAACGAUACUCUGGGGGCCAGGCUGUUUCUAACGAGACGUGAAAUGCUGCAUCACGAGAAAAACGGAGCUUGUCCUCAUUGUUCACCAUGGUCAAGACUCAGUCAAGCAAGAACACUGCUUGAAUGGGUGUGAGGGCACCCCAUUCAUGGCUCUGGAGAAGAUGCUCCGUCAGAAAAGCUUCAGGUUUACCCAACAGGCAACUUACUGAAAUAGGACACGUAGGAAAACAACAGAAGAACAGAAGACAUUAAGGACACAGUCAAAUAAAUCUAAAGACUAAACGCAAAAUAAAGGAAGUGUGGCUACAGAAGGGCUUGGCAAUGCAGGAGUGAAUGAAGUCAAGAGAAUGGCUAGAAAUCGAUGUCAGUUCCUUGUUUGUGUCUGUAUUUCCAGUGCCUGGCUCACAGCAUGACAAAGGGUGCCCACUGACAGAAUGAAAGGAGAAACAAAAGGGAGGGAAGGAAGAAAGGAAGAAGAAAGGGAGGGAGGGAGAAAGGAAGGAAUGAGGGAGGGAGGGGAAGAAGAGGAGAGACAGAGAAAGAAUGGAGGAGCAGGGAGCAAGGGAAGGAAAAGAAAGGUUUCUGACAUGUUGAAGAGGUGGAGGGGCAAGUGUGCAGAGAGAAAAGCUUGGCUGUGAGCAUCUUCAAAGAUCUGAAAGCCCGGAAGAGCAGGCUUGCUUAAUUCAAGAAGAGUUAUAUAUUCCAAGUGCUUUGAGAAAAUGGGCGGGGUAAUGUUCAAGAGGUUUUGCACAUGAUAAGAUUUAAUUUGGGAAGUGGGGUAUGUUAACGUAAGGUUGCAGGCUUUUGAAGGGGAUGUUAACAUGAUCCAAAUGCAUCAAGUGGAAAGGGGAAUAUGAAACUCAAAGAAAAUCAAACCCAACAGAAAAAAAAAAAAAAAACCAAAAGGCUAUUGCAAGCAAUUACUAAAGGCAGAAGGACUAAAGAUGAUAGUCUUAAAAUAGAAAGGCAGGUGCUUGUCUGGGAUUCUUCUAUGUUAAUGUUGAAGGAAAUGGGCUUAGAUCUCAGACCAAGAAUUUCCUUCUCCCACUGGGUAUCUUUUUUAGUUCUUCGGCUGUUCCUCUUUUCUGUCCCUGCCCUUCCUGAAAAUGAACUUCAGUCUUUACUGUUUUAGCAUCAAGGAAAAUAUGUUAGUAAACACAGCACCUGCGGGUGGAAUCAAAUAUAACUUUACAGGGCAGCUGUUGGUACAGACAGACUCCAGAGUCAAGGGUCCUGAAGUUGUUCGUCUACCUCUGUGCUCUAGAGAAGCUUCCAAAAUUUUUCGCUGUAAAAGAAUUGAGAGACCAAGUCAUCCCACCCCACUCAUUUUACACAUAAGGAUAUUUGGGAAGAGCUUUAUUAAUGUUUCUUUUAUUCUACAAAAGUUGUUAUGAAUGAGAUAUACUUUGCAGGUGGAUUUUAAAUUAAUGAAAGCCUUUAUUGUCAGCCUCUUCAUUAUGUUAGCACAAUGAAGAUGCAUAAUGAGUUAGGUGCAUCAAAGGGGAUACACUGCCACACAAGCCUCUUACUGCACUAAACACUUUGGAUACGUGUUGGUUCUCUUUCUAGAUGGCAGUAUAUCCCGAUACGUGUUGGUUCUCUUUCUAGAUGGCAGUAUAUCUAUCUAUCCAUCUAUCUGUCUUUCUUAAAACCUGUAAAAUAACCUAAUGUUAAAUAUUGUUAAUAGGUGUUUUUCCAUUCUGAUCAAGCAUGUCAUAACUGCUCCUGGACGGAUAAAUAAACCUCUUAAAGAUUUCAGAAUUUAUUAUUUCGUGAUCAUAGAAUGGGAAGGUGGGGUGCUAAGCUUUGAUACAUGUGUAUGAGGCUCACUUCUGAGUCAACUAAAGUGCUACUGUUGCAAGGAAAGAUAUUUGACACAAUUUUUGUGGGACUCCUUUGGGGAGCUAAUAACACAAAGUCCUUGUCCGCAUGAGCAGAUGAAAAGUCAGUCAACGUACUGCUUUAGCAUUGCCAAGAUAGAGCUCCUGCAAAAAUGUCUCUUUUAUAAUGUGGACCCCAUGAUCAAAAUCAAUGCUGAGGAACAAACAGUACAAAUACGCUAACCACCAAAUUCUAGGUGUCUAGUAUGAGUCAAAAGUUUAACAAAUCAGCAUUCUUUGGGGCCUCUGCCUACUUAAUCGGAAUAAAUACUAUCAUGUAUCAUCUCAACAAGAGCCUCCCUCAGAAUCCUUUCUAUCUCCUGGAUGUAUAAGUGUAAAUCGGGUGCCUUGCAUCGCUGUGCUCAGGGUCCCUCUGUGAUCUGAUGGUAAUGAUUCUCCAAAUUUGCAUCAAGACCAUCUCCACCUACUGAGCACAGAGCAAGUGCCAAGUGCCACGCUGACCAAUCAACUCGUUGUUGCUCUGCCUGGGUUUUUCCUCCAUAGCUAGAUCUUCAGGGGUCAGCUCCUCGGGGAGGGGGGUCUCCAGCCCAGGAGACACCAAAAGGGAAGGUGAUGUUAGUGCACUGAGGACCUGAGGCAGAGUUUCAGCUAUUCAUCAUGUGUGCCGUGCAAAAUGGAGGAAAAAUAGAAAAGUUGUUUGUU
rnacentral:lncRNA from 1 species